GGAGGGUUCGCAUAGUGGUCGAGUGCGCAUGCUUGGAAAGCAUGUAAGGGAGAAAUCCCUUCGAGAGUUCGAAUCUCUCACCCUCCG
rnacentral:tRNA from 1 species